UCAUUAAGUGAAUACAUAGCUUAAUGAGGGGAACUCAGGGAACUGAAACAUCUAAGUACCUGAAGGAAGAGAAAGAAAUUCGAUUCCGUAAGUAGCGGCGAGCGAACGCGGAUUAGCCCAAACCAAUAAAGUUUUCUUUAUUGGGGUUGCGGACAUAUCAUAACGAAGAGGUAUCGUAAUUGAAGAGGUUUGGAAAGACCCACCACAGAAGGUAAUAGUCCUGUAUGUUAAACGAGAAGACUUCAGAUAUGAUCCAGAGUACCACGGGACACGUGAAACCCUGUGGGAAGCAGGAGGGACCACCCUCCAAGGCUAAAUACUACCUAGUGACCGAUAGCGUAUAGUACCGUGAGGGAAAGGUGAAAAGAACC
rnacentral:rRNA from 1 species